UACGUAGGGCGCAAGCGUUGUCCGGAAUUAUUGGGCGUAAAGGGCGCGUAGGCGGUCAGCACAAGUCAGUUGUGAAAUCUCCGGGCUUAACUCGGAAAGGUCAACUGAUACUGUGCGACUAGAGUGCGGAAGGGGCAACUGGAAUUCUCGGUGUAGCGGUGAAAUGCGUAGAUAUCGAGAGGAACACCUGCGGCGAAGGCGGGUUGCUGGGCCGACACUGACGCUGAUGCGCGAAAGCCAGGGGAGCGAACGGG
rnacentral:rRNA from 1 species